UACAGAGGGUGCGAGCGUUAAUCGGAAUUACUGGGCGUAAAGCGUGCGUAGACGGCUAUCUAAGUCGGGUGUGAAAGCCCCGGGCUCAACCUGGGAAUUGCAUUCGAGACUGAAUAGCUAGGGUACGGUAGAGGGAAGUGGAAUUUCCGGUGUAGCGGUGAAAUGCGUAGAUAUCGGAAGGAACACCAGUGGCGAAAGCGACUUCCUGGACCAGUACCGACGUUCAGGCACGAAAGCGUGGGGAGCAAACAGG
rnacentral:rRNA from 1 species